rnacentral:rRNA from 1 species
AAUGAACGCUGGCGGCAUGCCUAACACAUGCAAGUCGAACGAAGGCUUCGGCCUUAGUGGCGCACGGGUGCGUAACGCGUGGGAAUCUGCCCUUGGGUUCGGAAUAACAGUUAGAAAUGACUGCUAAUACCGGAUGAUGUCGUAAGACCAAAGAUUUUAUCGCCCAAGGAUGAGCCCGCGUAGGAUUAGCUAGUUGGUGGGGUAAAAGCUCACCAAGGCGACGAUCCUUAGCUGGUCUGAGAGGAUGAUCAGCCACACUGGGACUGAGACACGGCCCAGACUCCUACGGGAGGCAGCAGUGGGGAAUAUUGGACAAUGGGCGAAAGCCUGAUCCAGCAAUGCCGCGUGAGUGAU